rnacentral:rRNA from 1 species
GAUGAACGCUAGCUACAGGCUUAACACAUGCAAGUCGAGGGGAAACGACAUCGAAAGCUUGCUUUUUCUAGGCGUCGACCGGCGCACGGGUGAGUAACGCGUAUCCAACCUGCCCACCACUUGGGGAUAACCUUGCGAAAGUAAGACUAAUACCCAAUGACGUCUCUAGAAGACAUCUGAAAGAGAUUAAAGAUUUAUCGGUGAUGGAUGGGGAUGCGUCUGAUUAGCUUGUUGGCGGGGUAACGGCCCACCAAGGCAACGAUCAGUAGGGGUUCUGAGAGGAAGGUCCCCCACAUUGGAACUGAGACACGGUCCAAACUCCUACGGGAGGCAGCAGUGAGGAAUAUUGGUCAAUGGGCGAGAGCCUGAACCAGCCAAGUAGCGUGCAGGAUGACGGCCCUAUGGGUUGUAAACUGCUUUUAUAAGGGAAUAAAGUGGGUCUCGUGAGACUUUUUGCAUGUACCUUAUGAAUAAGGACCGGCUAAUUCCGUG